rnacentral:rRNA from 1 species
GCACCAUUGGAUGAGCCUGCACUUGAUUAGUUUGUUGGUGGGGUAAUGGCCUACCAAGACUGUGAUCAAUAGCUGAUUUGAGAGGAUGAUCAGCCACAUUGGGACUGAGACACGGCCCAAACUCCUACGGGAGGCAGCAGUGGGGAAUCUUGCACAAUGGAGGAAACUCUGAUGCAGCGAUGCCGCGUGAGUGAAGAAGGCCCUUGGGUUGUAAAGCUCUUUCGUC